GACAGAGGAUGCAAGCGUUAUCCGGAAUGAUUGGGCGUAAAGCGUCUGUAGGUGGUUUAAUAAGUCAACUGUUAAAUCUUGAGGCUCAACCUCAAAAUCGCAGUCGAAACUAUUAGGCUAGAGUAUAGUAGGGGUAAAGGGAAUUUCCAGUGGAGCGGUGAAAUGCGUAGAGAUUGGAAAGAACACCGAUGGCGAAGGCACUUUACUGGGCUAUUACUAACACUCAGAGACGAAAGCUAGGGUAGCAAAUGGGG
rnacentral:rRNA from 1 species